rnacentral:rRNA from 1 species
GAUGAACGCUGGCGGCGUGCCUAACACAUGCAAGUCGAACGGACAGGCGCGGAGCUUGCUCGUCGGACGUUAGCCGCGGGGGUGAGAGAAACGCGUGUAUACCCUCCUUGUAAUUCUGGGAUCUCCACGGGACACCGGAGCUUAUACGAUAUAAGAUAUUGAACCGCGUGGUGCAAUGGUGAAAGACGGCGGUGCGGGCACUGAUAGAUGGAUCCGAGCCGGAUUAGCUAGUUGGUAAGGUCAAGGCUUUCCACGGGGACGAUGCGUAGGCGAACGGAGAGAGUGAUCGGCCACACUGGAACGGAGACACGGUCCAGACGCCUACGGGAGGCAGCAGUAGGGAAUGUUCGGCAAUGGGCGAAAGCCUGACGGAGCAACGCCGCGUGAGUGAUGAAGGCCUUCGGAUCGUAAAGCUCUGUUAUGAGGGAAGAACAGAUGUGUAAGUAAACAUGCAGGUCUUGACGGUACCGAAUCAGAAAGCAACGGCUAACUACGUG